GGGCGGGGAUUAGUGGCGAACGGGUGAGUAACACGUGGGCAAUCUGCCCUGCACUCUGGGACAAGCCCUGGAAACGGGGUCUAAUACCGGAUAUGACCGUCUGCCGCAUGGUGGAUGGUGUAAAGCUCCGGCGGUGCAGGAUGAGCCCGCGGCCUAUCAGCUUGUUGGUGAGGUAGUGGCUCACCAAGGCGACGACGGGUAGCCGGCCUGAGAGGGCGACCGGCCACACUGGGACUGAGACACGGCCCAGACUCCUACGGGAGGCAGCAGUGGGGAAUAUUGCACAAUGGGCGAAAGCCUGAUGCAGCGACGCCGCGUGAGGGAUGACGGCCUUCGGGUUGUAAACCUCUUUCAGCAGGGAAGAAGCGAAAGUGACGGUACCUGCAGAAGAAGCGCCGGCUAACUACGUGCCAGCAGCCGCGGUAAUACGUAGGGCGCAAGCGUUGUCCGGAAUUAUUGGGCGUAAAGAGCUCGUAGGCGGCUUGUCACGUCGGUUGUGAAAGCCCGGGGCUUAACCCCGGGUCUGCAGUCGAUACGGGCAGGGCUAGAGUUCGGUAGGGGAGAUCGGAAUUCCUGGUGUAGCGGUGAAAUGCGCAGAUAUCAGGAGGAACACCGGUGGCGAAGGCGGAUCUCUGGGCCGAUACUGACGCUGAGGAGCGAAAGCGUGGGGAGCGAACAGGAUUAGAUACCCUGGUAGUCCACGCCGUAAACGGUGGGCACUAGGUGUGGGCAACAUUCCACGUUGUCCGUGCCGCAGCUAACG
rnacentral:rRNA from 1 species